UGCUGUGAUGCUGUAAUUUGCGCCUUACUCUGUUCUCAGUGACAGUUGCCUGCUGUCAAUAAGCUGGUACAGAAGGUUGCUGAAAAUGUUUUUCUGAGCA
ensembl:snoRNA SNORD16 Small nucleolar RNA SNORD16